rnacentral:rRNA from 1 species
AUUGAACGCUGGCGGCAGGCCUAACACAUGCAAGUCGAACGAGUGGCGGACGGGUGAGUAAUGUCUGGGAAACUGCCUGAUGGAGGGGGAUAACUACUGGAAACGGUAGCUAAUACCGAAUACCCUCGGCUGUGCCCAGAUGGGAUUAGAUAGUAGGGGGGGUAAAGGCUAACCUAGGCGACGACCCCUAGCUGGUCUGAGAGGAUGGCCAGCCACACUGGAACGGAGACAGGGUCCAGACUCCUGCGGGAGGCAGCAGUGGGGAAUAUUGCACAAUGGGCGCAAGCCUGAUGUAGCCACGCCGCGUGUAUGAAGAAGGCCUUCGGGUUGUAAAGUAAUUUCAGCGUGGAGGCGUUACCCGCAGAAGAAGCACCGGCUAACUCCGUGCCAGCCGCCGCGGUAAUAC